AUGUUGUGUUGUGGGUAUGUGCUGGUAUUGAACAUGUUGUGGAUAUGUGGUUGUAUUGAACAUGUUGUGUUGUGGAUAUGUGGUGGUAUUGAACAUGUUGUGUUGUGGAUAUGUGGUGGUAUUAAACAUGUUGUGGUAUUAAACAUGUUGUGUUGUGGAUAUGUGGUGUUAUUGAACAUGUUGUGGAUAUGUUGUGGUAUUAAACAUGUUGUGUUGUGGAUAUGUGGUGGUAUUGAACAUGUAGUGGUAUUGAACAUGUGGAUAUGUGGUGGUAUUGAACAUGUGUUGUGGAUAUCAAAUCAAAUCAAAUUUUAUUUGUCACAUACACAUGGUUAGCAGAUGUUAAUGCGAGUGUAGCGAAAUGCUUGUGCUUCUAGUUCCGACAAUGCAUUAAUAACAAGUAAUCUAACUAACAAUUCCAAAACUACUGUCCUGUACACAGUGUAAGGGGAUAAAGAAUAUGUACAUAAGGAUAUAUGAAUGAGUGAUGGUACAGAGCAGCAUAGGCAAGAUACAGUAGAUGGUAUCGAGUACAGUAUGUACAAAUGAGAUUAAAAGUGGCUAGUGAGUUUAAAGUGGCUAGUGAUGCAUGUAUUACAUAAGGAUACAGUCGAUGAUAUAGAGUACAGUAUAUACGUAUGCAUAUGAGAUGAAUAAUGUAGGGUAAGUAACAUUAUAUAAGGUAGCAUUGUUUAAAGUGGCUAGUGAUAUAUUUACAUCAUUUCCCAUCAAUUCCCAUUAUUAAAGUGGCUGGAGUUGAGUCAGUGUCAGUGUGUUGGCAGCAGCCACUCAGUGUUAGUGGUGGCUGUUUAACAGUCUGAUGGCCUUGAGAUAGAAGCUGUUUUUCAGUCUCUCGGUCCCAGCUCAUCUGUAGAAGUUUGUGAGUGCUUUUGGUGACAAGCCGAAUUUCUUCAGCCUCCUGAGGAUGAAGAGGCGCUGCUGCGCCUUCUUCACGAUGCUGUCUGUGUGAGUGGACCAAUUCAGUUUGUCUGUGAUGUGUAUGCCGAGGAACUUAAAACUUGCUACCCUCUCCACUACCGUUCCAUCGAUGUGGAUAGGGGGGUGUUCCCUCUGCUGUUUCCUGAAGUCCACAAUCAUCUCCUUAGUUUUGUUGACGUUGAGUGUGAGGUUAUUUUCCUGACACCACACUCCGAGGGUCCUCACCUCCUCCCUGUAGGCCGUCUCGUCGUUGUUGGUAAUCAAGCCUACCACUGUUGUGUCGUCCGCAAACUUGAUGAUUGAGUUGGAGGCGUGCGUGGCCACGCAGUCGUGGGUGAACAGGGAGUACAGGAGAGGGCUCAGAACGCACCCUUGUGGGGCCCCAGUGUUGAGGAUCAGCGGGGAGGAGAUGUUGUUGCCUACCCUCACCACCUGGGGGCGGCCCGUCAGGAAGUCCAGUACCCAGUUGCACAGGGCGGGGUCGAGACCCAGGGUCUCGAGCUUGAUGACGAGCUUGGAGGGUACUAUGGUGUUGAAUGCCGAGCUGUAGUCGAUGAACAGCAUUCUCACAUAGGUAUUCCUCUUGUCCAGAUGGGUUAGGGCAGUGUGCAGUGUGGUUGAGAUUGCAUCGUCUGUGGACCUAUUUGGGCCGUAAGCAAAUUGGAGUGGGUCUAGGGUGUCAGGUAGGGUGGAGGUGAUAUGGUCCUUGACUAGUCUCUCAAAGCACUUCAUGAUGACGGAUGUGAGUGCUACGGGGCGGUAGUCGUUUAGCUCAGUUACCUUAGCUUUCUUGGGAACAGGAACAAUGGUGGCCCUCUUGAAGCAUGUGGGAACAGCAGACUGGUAUAGGGAUUGAUUGAAUAUGUCCGUAAACACACCGGCCAGCUGGUCUGCGCAUGCUCUGAGGGCGCGGCUGGGGAUGCCGUCUGGGCCUGCAGCCUUGCGAGGGUUAACACGUUUAAAUGUCUUACUCACCUCGGCUGCAGUGAAGGAGAGACAGCAUGUUUUCGUAGCAGGCCGUGUCAGUGGCACUGUAUUGUCCUCAAAGCGGGCAAAAAAGUCAUUUAGUCUGCAUGGGAGCAAGACAUCCUGGUCCGUGACUGGGCUGGAUUUCUUCCUGUAGUCCGUGAUUGACUGUAGACCCUGCCACAUGCCUCUUGUGUCUGAGCCGUUGAAUUGAGAUUCUACUUUGUCUCUGUACUGGCGCUUAGCUUGUUUGAUAGCCUUGCGGAGGGAAUAGCUGCACUGUUUGUAUUCGGUCAUGUUACCAGACACCUUGCCCUGAUUAAAAGCAGUGGUUCGCGCUUUCAGUUUCACACGAAUGCUGCCAUCAAUCCACGGUUUCUGGUUAGGGAAUGUUUUAAUCGUUGCUAUGGGAACGACAUCUUCAACCCACGUUCUAAUGAACUCGCACACCGAAUCAGCGUAUUCGUCAAUGUUAUCUGACGCAAUACGAAACAUCUCCCAGUCCACGUGAUGGAAGCAGUCUUGGAGUGUGGAGUCAGCUUGGUCGGACCAGCGUUGGACAGACCUCAGCGUGGGAGCCUCUUGUUUUAGUUUCUGUCUGUAGGCAGGGAUCAACAAAAUGGAGUCGUGGUCAGCUUUUCCGAAAGGGGGGCGGGGCAGGGCCUUAUAUGCGUCGCGGAAGUUAGAGUAACAAUGAUCCAAGGUCUUUCCACCCCUGGUUGCGCAAUCGAUAUGCUGAUAAAAUUUAGGGAGUCUUGUUUUCAGAUUAACCUUGUUAAAAUCCCCAGCUACAAUGAAUGCAGCCUCCGGAUAAAUCGUUUCCAGUUUGCAGAGAGUUAAAUAAAGUUCGUUCAGAGCCAUCGAUGUGUCUGCUUGGGGGGGGGGAUAUAUACGGCUGUGAUUAUAAUCGAAGAGAAUUCUCUUGGUAGAUAAUGCGGUCUACAUUUGAUUGUGAGGAAUUCUAUAUCAGGUGAACAGAAGGAUUUGAGUUCCUGUACAGUGCCUUGCGAAUGUAUUCGGCCCCCUUGAUCUUUGCGACCUUUUGCCACAUUUCAGGCUUCAAACAUAAAGAUAUAAAACUG
rnacentral:lncRNA from 13 species